AACGAACGCUGGCGGCAGGCUUAACACAUGCAAGUCGAACGCCCCGCAAGGGGAGUGGCAGACGGGUGAGUAACGCGUGGGGAUCCACCUAGUUCUACGGAACAACAGUUGGAAACGACUGCUAAUACCGUAUACGCCCUACGGGGGAAAGAUUUAUCGGAAUUAGAUGAGCCCGCGUAAGAUUAGCUAGUUGGUGGGGUAAUGGCCUACCAAGGCGACGAUCUUUAGCUGGUCUGAGAGGAUGAUCAGCCACACUGGGACUGAGACACGGCCCAGACUCCUACGGGAGGCAGCAGUGGGGAAUAUUGGACAAUGGGCGCAAGCCUGAUCCAGCCAUGCCGCGUGAGUGAUGAAGGCCUUAGGGUUGUAAAGCUCUUUCACCGAUGAAGAUAAUGACGGUAGUCGGAGAAGAAGCCCCGGCUAACUUCGUGCCAGCAGCCGCCGUAA
rnacentral:rRNA from 1 species